CAAUAGCGUAUAUUAAUGUUGUUGCAGUUAAAAAGCUCGUAGUUGGAUUUCGAAUGGGAGCGGCUGGUCGGCUCCGCAAGGGGUCGUAACCGUGUUCGUCUCCGGUUCUAUUUCGGGGUAUUCUUGGGCAUGGCAUUGGUUUGUCGUGUUUAGGACCCGUCGUUUACUGUGAACAAAUUAGAGUGUUCCAAGCAAGGCUUGACUUGAAUACAUUAGCAUGGAAUAAUAAGAUAGGACUUUGGUGGUUCUGCCCAUUUGGGUGGAUAUUUUGUUGGUUUGCACGCCAAAGUAAUGAUUAAUAGGAGCAGUUGGGGGUAUUCGUAUUCAAUUGUCAGAGGUGAAAUUCUUGGAUUUCUAGAAGACGAACUACUGCGAAAGCAUUUACCAAGGAUGUUUUCAUUAA
rnacentral:rRNA from 1 species